rnacentral:SRP_RNA from 1 species
GCCGGGCGUUGUGGCGGGCGCCUGUGGUCCCAGCUACUUGGGAGGCAGAGGCAGGAGACUCGCUUGAACCCAGGAGUUGGAGGUUGCUGUGAACUGUAAUGCCACGGCACUCUACCCAGGGGGACAGCUUGAGGCUCUGUCUCAAAAAAAAAAAAAAAAAAAAAAAAGAAUACUGGUCCUUGAAGAAGUUUAGUAAGUUUAAAAUGAGGCUAAAUUUCUGUUUUUUUUUUUUUUGAGACAGAGCCUCAAGCCGUCCCCCUGGGUAGAGUGCCUGGCAUUACAGCUCACAGCAACCUCCAACUCCUGGGCUCAAGCGAGUCUCCUGCCUCAG